GGUCUCUGAUCUGAACGCCCCUGCGGUUUGCGCGUAGGCGUUUCUGGACCCCACUGCAACUCCGUGCAGCACCCAGAACUGUGCCCACAAAACAGCUGUUUGGUAGAGGAAGGGAUCUUCCUCUUCAUCCCUGAGACCGGGGUGAACGCAGCCAACGCAACAGAGCAGGUCUACGCGACCCCGCUGCCCACCGCCCAAGACAGCCAGAGGCCAGGUCCUACCCUUCUCCAAGUCACAGGGAGGGAGACACGCUGACGAUGGAAAGACAGGAAAUCCACUGGGAAAUGCCCUGAGAAACGCCGUGACGUCACCGCGUUUCCUGCUCUUCCUAAUGCUGGACCUUCCUACACCCAACUUCCAGCUCCGGUCAGGGUGCCUGAGGGUGCCUUCAGAUGAAGCCAGAUCGGGGCGGCGGCGGGAGGGGGGUCUCCUCGGGUCAGGCCUGCCGGCCUCCCUGGCGGUGCUGGGGGCCGCGCCCCUCAGGUGGGGUCAGCCACGCAGGCCAACGCCUGCUUCAGGUCGCCCACGGCUUCCUCCACGGCGCCGCCGCUAGCAGAGGGGACCCCGCCGGAGCCCCGCGCCCAGCCCCGCCUCCGAAUUUGCCCCGAGCGCAUCCCGUCGCGCGCCCUCUGACCCGGAAGCGCUCGGCGGCGGGACCGCUCCCGGCGCGGCGCCCCCUCCCCACCAGAGCGGGCCGCCCUGGGCCAGAAAGCGCGAGACGGGGUGGCGCUCCUCGCUGAGGUUAUCAGCUGACAAUGGGAGUGUGCCUACUCGACAGCUUCUGGAACAUUUCCUCCAGUGACUCCAGAUGUACCCAUGGCUGUCUCCAAGGAGCCCGCACUGGGGGACAUGAGAGGCGCCAUCUUUCUUUUCUGAGGGGGCUGCCCCGCCCACUCCCCUGCGAGCUGUGGAGCAGACACCUUCUCCCCUCCUGGCCGUGGGUAGACAGACAUCGUGGACGGUGGGAGACAGGGCUCAAAGGCGUGGAGCGGAGCAGGAGGGCUUCUGACCCCUCCGUUCCAUCCACCCAGACACGGGAAGGCCACGGGGAGUGUCAGGGAUGCCGUGGACGUGUGUGUCAAGGCCGGAGCCACAACACGCUUGGUGAACCUUCUGCUGUAGCCAAGAUACCUGUUCCUCUCUUAAAGGUAUGUAUUAUAUAGUGAUUGUUGGAGUUCUGUGUGUCUGUAUCCAGGAAACACUUGCUUCCUCUUACCCUUUCAUUCAUUUCUCCCACGUGGGUGCAAACUUGGGCCAUCUUCUACUGCUUUCCCAGGCCAUAGCAGAGAGCUGGAUUGGAAGUGGAGCAGCCAGGACUCAAACCAGCGCCCAUAUGGGAUGCCGGCACUGCAGGCAGAGGUUUAACCAACCACAGCGCUGGCCCCAAGACAGAGGGGGUUUUAUAAAAGCUCUCAUUGAAUAGUGAAAGCCUGGGCUCUGGGGUCUUCAGAACUCAGCACCACCCUCUUCCUGGCCUCCGAUUCUGAGGACACGUGUGAGCCCUGAGCCUCCCAAAGUCCCCUCCUCUGUUGGCCAUGGCCCUGUUUCCUUUGCCUUCAGGAACACAUGGAGCAUCGCCGUCUGCUCACCGCUCACCUCCUCACUGGGUUUCCACCCCCGGCUUCUCUGCAGGCUGGAACCUCACAAGGGUCUGCAUCCGGGCCCUGGACUGGGCGCCUGCACAUUCAAGUCAUCGAAGCCCCCUUUCCUGAGGGCUGCUGGGUGACUUGGAGUCCCUGGGACCCUUCCAGGCUUUGUCUGGCUGCACCCAGAGCCCUCUUUGCUCCUUGCUGUCGGGUGCAGGCAGAGCCUGAGGGCCUGGCCAGAUGCCCCUCGGGGAUGGGACGUGGGUCAUGAGCCAAGUGUGAGCUCCUGGCUUGUCAUAGCCAGCUUGUGCCUUCUCACAGGCUGGGGACAGGCUGGAGGGGUUUGACUGAGACACGGGAGGGAGUGCAGUUCCUGGCUUUCUCUUCUGCCUCUCUGCUGGGUUCCCUUUGUGACCUUGGCCAUAGCCAGAACCUGCCCCGGCCUGUGCUGGGCAUUUUAUGUUGCUUAUGAGGGGAGGUCCACACCAGUCUGGUCCCUUGUUUUGCAGCCGAAGCUCACCAUGCCGUGAAGGCGUCAGGUCUGACUGUGGGGUGUGGCUUGUGCAAAGGACUCUGGGUAUUUGCCACCCCUGCCCUGGAGGCCUCCCUUACCCCCCUGCCCACUCCCACUCUGUCACCCAGGCCUCCAAGCUCUGAUAUUUUUCAGCAAGCACAGCUCACAGAGCACGUGGCGACCUGAGCCCAGAGGCCCCGGGGCUGACCAGCUCCAUAUCCCACAGGGAAAGGGGUGAAGAGGGAGCUACCCCUUGAUAACAGAGGUCCCUGCAGGCUGAGCACAGGGUCUCCUGGUCCUCGCUGUUGGCAGUACAGUGUCCCGUUUGUAAACCCUGAUGUCCGGGUGGUGCUGUUGGGAAAUGCUUGUGCCCUGGUCAGGCAGGGCUGGGGAGGGGUGGGCCCAGCACUGGAGGGCGCCUGGCUGGAAAACCUCAGCUGCAGUGCAGGGCACCAGGCGCGCCUGCUGUUUCUUCCAUGUGCUCACCUGUGCACCCUGCUAUAGGUGUGGAUUAUUCUUCAGGCAGAGUUCGCAAGCCCCAUGCUUUUGAUUGUAUUAUCAUUGGGAGCACGUUGUUUUAACCACACAGUACUAAGCUGGGCAUGGGGUGAUGGGGGCAGGUUCUGGGUGGCUGGGAAUGAGAGAGCACCCCAGAAGUGCCAGGGAGCCAGUGAGAGGACACCCCGCUCCCUGGGGUGGGGGUGGGGGCUGGGCAGUAGGCAGCGCCCUGGCUGCAGCGCUGGACUGGAUAAGGGCCCUCGGAGAGGUUCCCAAUGGAUGCCAGUAGAAAGGGCACAAAACUGUUCAGCCUGUGAAGGAAGGAUCACGGAGCAGCUAUGGCCACGGGGAGCAGAAGAGGAGUUUGUUACAGGGGCUGGGGAAGGGGCCCACACCCCUGGGGGCUAAGGGGUUGCGGGGAGCUGCAGCCACAGUCAUGGCCCCCAACGCUGCCAUCCUGCUCGCUCCCAUGGCUGGUCCCCAGGCUUCCCCCAGGCCAGUAGCUCAGCUACUGGGAAGGCCGGACAGUGGGGCAUGGCCUGCAGUCCCAUGGGACUCAGAAGGCAGGACAGAAGUGCCCUCCCCAGAGCCUGCCUGUGACACGGCUGUGAGUCCUGGGCACUCAGCACAUGGGCGCCAGGUACCCUGUGCACAGCCUGGCAGGAUGGAAUGAGGCAUGAGCCCAGAUCCUUGUGGCCGGCUCGGGCUCCACUUUGGGGCCCCUUCAAUUGUGGUCAUAUGGGUCAUGGGUGGUCCAGAUAGCUGAAGGUGGCGACCGUGGCCCUGGUCUCUCUUGGAGAUGCUGUGACUUGGUGAACCCUACUCCAGGGCCCGGCAGUACAGUGGCCACGUGGGGCAUUUGACAGCCCUGGCCAGGACUGCACCCAUCUUCCCCAGCCCACCCUGCUGUUCAGGAUGGAAGCAAAGCAUUCAUCAGACGCAGUGCCUGCCUUUUCUUUAAAAAAAAAAAAAAAAGGCCAUGGUGGCCAUUUGGGGAGUGAACCAACAGAAGGAAGACCUUUCUUUCUAUCUCUCUCUCUCUCACUGUCUAUUACUCUGCCUGUCAAGUAAAUAAAAAGGGAGGGGGGCCGGCGCCUUGGCUCACUUGGUUAAUCCUCUGCCUGCAGCGCCAGCAUCCCAUAUGGGCGCCCAUUCCAGUCUCAGCUGCUCCACUUCUGAUCCAGCUCUCUGCUGUUCCCCGGGAGUACAGUGGAGGAUGGCCCAAGUGCUUGGGCCCCUGCACCCGCAUGCAAGACCAGGAAGAAGCACCUGGCUCUUGGCUUCAGAUCGGCGCAGCGCCAGCCAUGGCGGCCAUUUGGGGGGUGAAUCAAUGGAAGACCUUUCUCUCUCUCACUGUGUAUAACUCUGCCUGUCAAGUAAAUUUUUAAAAAUCCAUUUUGAUACAGUUUCACAAGGCAUAAAAUCAACCACUGACUUUUUUAAAAUUUAUUUAUUUGAAAGAGUUACAGCGAGGCAGAGAGAGAGAGAGAGAGAGAGAGAGAGAGAGGUCUUCCGUCCACUGGUUCAUUCCCCAAAUGGCCACAAUGGCUGGAGCUAUGCUGAUCUGAAGCCAGGAGUCAGGAGCUUCUUCCAGGUCCCCCACAUGAUUACAGGGGCCCAAAUAUUUGGGCAUCUUCCACUGCUUUCCCAGGCCAUAGCAGAGAGCUGGAUCCAAGGUGGAGCAGCCGGGACUCGAACCAGCACCCAUAUCGGAUGCUGGCACAGCAGGUGGUGGCUCCACCUGCUACACCACAGCGCCAACCUGACCACUAUUUUACAUGCACUGUCAUUUGGUGCCUUCACAGUUCUGUGCAGCCACCACCUCUUUCAAGUUCCAGAACAUUCUGCUCUAAAAGGAAGCCCCAAGCCCAUUGGCAUUCAUCCCCUCACCCCCAGCCCUGCAACCCUUCUGAGUUCCUGGCACUCAUCAGCCCCAUCCUCUACCUGUGGACUUGUGCUGCCCUGGGCCCUGCGCACCAGUGGGCUCACAGAACAGGUGCCCUUCUGUGUCUCACAUCUGCUGAGCACAUGUUUGAGGUUCAUCAGGCCAGAGCCACAGGUCCCCCAGCCCAAACCUACAAGGGGGCCGGCAUGUGGCGUAGUGGGUAAAGCCGCCACCUGCAGUACCGGCAUCUGAUAUGGGAGCCGGUUCAAGUCCUGGCCUCUCUACUUGCGAUUCAGCUCUCUGCUGUGGCCUGGGAAAACAGUAGAAGAUGGCCCCCGUCCUUGGGUCCCUGCACCCAUGUGGGAGACCCAGAAGAAGCUCCUGGCUCCUGGCUUUAGAUCAAUGCAGUUCCGGCCAUGCGGCCAAUUGGGGAGUGAACCAGCGGAUGGAAGACCUUCCUCUCUCAAUCUGCCUCUCCUCUCUCUGUGUAACACUGACUUUCAAAUAAAUAAAUAAAUUUUUUAAAGUAUCUGACAAAUAAAUUUGCUAGAUGAAUAUGGAAGAACUGUGUUUGUGUGUGUGGGUGUGGGUGUGGGUGUGUAAUUCUGACUUUCAAAUAACUAAAUAAACCUUUAAAAAAAAAAACCCCAGAGCUGUGAACCAGAUUCAGGAGGGACUUGGGAGAUCCGUCCCACAGCCCCUCCCCCGCCCCCACCCAGCCAGGUCAGAGCCAUUCCCCUCUCCCCUCCACCGUGGGGGCAUUGCCAUGGUUGCUGGGUCAUGUGCUCUGUGAGGCGCCUUGAGUUCCACGUGACACCACAGGUCCCCUCCUCACUUCUCAACUCAGCCUUCGCUGAGUGAGAAACCUUUGGUUGGACUUCGCUGUCCAGACUGAAUUCCAAUUGCAAGGUCGGAGAGGACACCUGGCUGCUUUUCCUGCCCGUGUUCACCGUGGUCGUGUCCCUUGGAGUGGACGUGCUGCUGCUGAGCUUUGUCAUCGUGCUGGUGCUGGGCAGCUGAUUUUCUGUCACAUCUGCCUGAGCUCUGAGUUUCCGGGACAGAGAAUCCAGUGAGCCCAGUGCAGAGGAUGGUGAUACAGAUGAGGGGCUAGCUUUGGGCCAUAGCAGAGCGCUGGAUCAGAAGUGGAGCAGCCAGGACUUGAAGUGGUGCCCAUAUGGGAUGCCGGCACUGCAGACCGAGGCUUUAAUCCCCUGCACCACAGCGCUGGACCUAGGAGGCAA